rnacentral:rRNA from 1 species
GACGAACGCUGGCGGCGUGCCUAACACAUGCAAGUCGAACGGAAAGGCCCUACGGGGUUCCCGAGUGGCGAACGGGGGGGUGACAGGGGGGGGAACUGCUCGGAACUUAGGGAUAAGCGGGGGAAAACGGGGCUAAUACCGAAUAGGAACACGCGACUCCUUGCGGGUGGAGGAAAGGUUUUGCGGGGUGGGAUGGGCCCGCGGCCGACCAGCUUGGUGGAGGGGUAUGGGGGGACCAAGGCGACGACGGGUAGCCGGCCGUAGAGGGUGACCGGCCACACUGGGCCUGCGGUACGCCCCAGUCUCCUACGGUGGGCAGCAGUGGGGAAUAUUGCCCAGUGAUCGCGAGCCUGUUGCAGCGGCGCCGCGUGUGGAAUGCCGGCCUUCGGGUUGUGAACCUCUUUCGCCAGGGACGAAGCGUAACUGACGGUACCUAAAGAAGAAGCACCGGCCAACUACGUG